GAUGAAGAACGCAGCGAAAUGCGAUAAGUAGUGUGAAUUGCAGAAUUCAGUGAAUCAUCGAAUCUUUGAACGCACAUUGCGCCUCCUGGUAUUCCGGGAGGCAUGCCUGUUCGAGCGUCAUUAAAAUCACUCAAUCUUAGGUUUACCUAUUGCUUGGUCUUGGAGAUGGAAGCCAAUUUAUUGGAAUCCUCUUCGAAAUUCAAUGGCGAAGACCCUUGCUCUCCCAAGUGUAGUAAUAACUUAUGUCACUGAAGGAAGCGAGAAAUCUUCUGCCGUAACCCCCAUAUUUUCUAUGAUUGACCUCGGAUCAGGUAGGGAUACCCGCUGAACUUAAGCAUAUCAAUAAGCGGAGGA
rnacentral:misc_RNA from 1 species